UGGAGAGUUCUCUCAACUACCCUCUUUCUCUCUCUUCUUCUCUCACUAUAUUCUUCGUGUUCUUCAGCUUAAUCUUCAUGUUUUUAUGGUAUCAGAGCCGGAAAAUCUUCCGAUCCUUCUCUGUUAUGUGUUGUCGAUACUUGCUGAAGUUUUUCUUCGGUUAUCUGAGAAAAAUACUGUUCGUAUAUUUUUCGAUAAAUGUUAAUCGGAUAAUCGGGACUUUUCU
rnacentral:lncRNA from 1 species